GGCGAACGCUGGCGGCGUGCUUAACACAUGCAAGUCGAACGGAAAGGCCCUGCUUUUGUGGGGUGCUCGAGUGGCGAACGGGUGAGUAACACGUGAGUAACCUGCCCUUGACUUUGGGAUAACUUCAGGAAACUGGGGCUAAUACCGGAUAGGAGCUCCUGCUGCAUGGUGGGGGUUGGAAAGUUUCGGCGGUUGGGGAUGGACUCGCGGCUUAUCAGCUUGUUGGUGGGGUAGUGGCUUACCAAGGCUUUGACGGGUAGCCGGCCUGAGAGGGUGACCGGCCACAUUGGGACUGAGAUACGGCCCAGACUCCUACGGGAGGCAGCAGUGGGGAAUAUUGCACAAUGGGCGGAAGCCUGAUGCAGCAACGCCGCGGGCGGGAUGACGGCCUUCGGGUUGUAAACCGCUUUCGCCUGUGACGAAGCGUGAGUGACGGUAAUGGGUAAAGAAGCACCGGCUAACUACGUGC
rnacentral:rRNA from 1 species